rnacentral:rRNA from 1 species
CCUACGGGAGGCAGCAGUGAGGAAUAUUGGUCAAUGGGCUUACGCCUGAACCAGCCAAGUCGCGUGAGGGAAGACUGCCCUAUGGGUUGUAAACCUCUUUUGUCAGGGAGCAACGCCGGCUACGUGUAGCCGGACUGAGAGUACCUGAAGAAAAAGCAUCGGCUAACUCCGUGCCAGCAGCCGCGGUAAUACGGAGGAUGCGAGCGUUAUCCGGAUUUAUUGGGUUUAAAGGGUGCGUAGGCGGAAUGCCAAGUCAGCGGUAAAAUCGCGGGGCUCAACCGCGCUCCGCCGUUGAAACUGGCGUUCUGGAGUGGGCGAGAAGUAUGCGGAAUGCGGGGGGUAGCGGGGAAAUGCAUAGAGAUCACGCAGAACGACGAUUGCGAAGGCAGCAUACCGGCGCCCAACUGACGCUGAAGCACGAAAGCGUGGGUAUCGAACAGGAUUAGAUACCCUUGUAGUC